GCUGAGCGCGGAGUUUCAUUCUGUCUUGUUGUCCGCCAGUGUGAAGUGUGAUCGAUGGAACAUGGUUGAGUUAAUAGAACUUGGUGAGCUGAAGAAUUAGCAAUUGUCCAUGCUGUCAACAUUUCUGACGAGAUAAAGACGAUGUACCGGCGUUUUAAUGGGAGCCAUGCAGAGAAACAGAGAUGGGUGCCAUGCUGCCAGCCAGCCGGUCACAGGAAACAACUGCAACACACUGAUAUUGCUGAAUGGUUCGGCGCAGUUUGCAGCCGCGCGGGUGCCACCCCAACACGCCAUCGCUGUUACAGCGGACAGGAUGUGUGCCCCAGCAGUCCCUUACACGCUUAAUUCCAAAUGAUGUGCUGUAACAAUUGCUUCGCUCUGUACGACAUUGUCGACAUUCAGCCGAACUUCACUAACUACGCUGUUAAUGAACAAACAUGAAGUGAAACAAUGGAAAAU